rnacentral:rRNA from 1 species
GCAUAGCCGUAAACUUAGAUAAGAUACCACAUCUCUUAUCCGCCUGGGAACUACGAGCGCUAGCUUAAAACCCAAAGGACUUGGCGGUGCUUAACAUCCACCUAGAGGAGCCUGUUCUGUAACCGAUAAUCCCCGUUAAACCUCACCCUCUCUUGCAAUUUCAGCCUAUAUACCGCCGUCGUCAGCCUACCCUAUGAAGGCCCCACAGUUAGCAAAAUUGGUAAACCCCAAAACGCCAGGUCGAGGUGUAGCAUAUGAGAGGGUAGAAAUGGGCUACACUCCUUAGCCAUAAGGAAAACGAACAACGUAUUGAAACAUACGAUUUGAAGGAGGAUUUAGUAGUAAGUAGAAAAUAGAGCGUUCUACUGAAUUCGGCCCUAAAGCGCGC